rnacentral:rRNA from 1 species
UACGUAGGGCGCAAGCGUUGUCCGGAAUUAUUGGGCGUAAAGAGCUCGUAGGCGGUUUGUCGCGUCUGCUGUGAAAACCUAAGGCUCAACCUUGGGCUUGCAGUGGGUACGGGCAGACUAGAGUGCGGUAGGGGUGACUGGAAUUCCUGGUGUAGCGGUGGAAUGCGCAGAUAUCAGGAGGAACACCGAGUGGCGAAGGCAGGUCACUGGGCCGCAACUGAC